ACAUUCAUUUCUUUCCAAGUUUUUUGCCUUUUAUGCUUAUGUGACGCUUCUAGUGUUUUGUUUUUAACUUUUGAUUGUUUUCCCUCCUUUCCUUUAGCAAUGUCUCUAGGUUUACGGUUAUUCUUCCUCAUCAUGUUCGACUUCAACUCUACAGUUUCUCUAAGGUUAUACUUUUCUCCUUUCACCCUUUAAAAUUAUUUAUUGCUUAGUUAUGGUAAAC
rnacentral:lncRNA from 1 species